UGCCUGAUAGUAUAAGGGUAGUACAACUGAUUUUGGUUCAGUUUGUCUUGGUUCGAAUCCAGGUCAGGCAACAA
rnacentral:tRNA from 1 species